AUUGAACGCUGGCGGCAGGCCUAACACAUGCAAGUCGAACGAGUGGCGGACGGGUGAGUAAUGUCUGGGAAACUGCCUGAUGGAGGGGGAUAACUACUGGAAACGGUAGCUAAUACCGCAUACCAUCGGAUGUGCCCAGAUGGGAUUAGCUAGUAGGUGGGGUAACGGUUCACCUCGGCGACGAUCCCUAGAUGGUCUGAGCGGAUGACCAGCAACACUGGAACUGAGACACGGUCCAAACUCCUACGUGGGGAGGAAGUGGGGAAGAUUGCACAAUGGGGGCAAGCCUGAUGAGGCCAUGCCGCGUGUAUGAAGAAGGCCUUCGGGUUGUAAAGUACUUUCAGCGGGGAGGCGUUACCCGCAGAAGAAGCACCGGCUAACUCCGUGCCAGCAGCCGCGGUAAUAC
rnacentral:rRNA from 1 species